UACAGAGGUCCCAAGCGUUGUUCGGAUUCACUGGGCGUAAAGGGUGCGUAGGUGGCGAGGUAAGUCGGAUGUGAAAGCUCGGAGCUCAACUCCGAAAUGGCAUUGGAAACUACCUUGCUUGAGGGUUGGAGGGGGGACUGGAAUUCUCGAUGUAGCAGUGAAAUGCGUAGAUAUCGAGAGGAACACCAGUGGCGAAGGCGAGUCCCUGGACAACUCCUGACACUGAGGCACGAAAGCUAGGGGAGCAAACAGG
rnacentral:rRNA from 1 species